rnacentral:rRNA from 1 species
CCUACGGGAGGCAGCAGUGGGGAAUAUUGGACAAUGGGGGGAACCCUGAUCCAGCCAUGCCGCGUGUGUGAAGAAGGCCCUCGGGUUGUAAAGCACUUUCAGUGAGGAAGAACGCCUGGUGGUUAAUACCCAUCAGGAAAGACAUCACUCACAGAAGAAGCACCGGCUAACUCCGUGCCAGCAGCCGCGGUAAUACGGAGGGUGCGAGCGUUAAUCGGAAUUACUGGGCGUAAAGCGCGCGUAGGUGGCUUGAUAAGCCGGUUGUGAAAGCCCCGGGCUCAACCUGGGAACGGCAUCCGGAACUGUCAAGCUAGAGUGCAGGAGAGGAAGGUAGAAUUCCCGGUGUAGCGGUGAAAUGCGUAGAGAUCGGGAGGAAUACCAGUGGCGAAGGCGGCCUUCGGGACUGACACUGACACUGAGGUGCGAAAGCGUGGGUAGCAAACAGGAUUAGAUACCCCGGUAGUC